rnacentral:lncRNA from 1 species
CAACUCUGGACUUGAGAACAGAAUUACAGUGAAUCUAAGCUCAGCAGAACAUCUCUCAGCUUCAUUAGUGGCAGGACUCAGUAUUUGCUUUGUGCUCCUUAUUAUUGUC